AGAGUUUGAUCCUGGCUCAGGAUGAACGCUGGCGGUCUGCUUAACACAUGCAAGUCGAACGAAUCCCUUCGGGGAUUAGUGGCGGACGGGUGAGUAACGCGUGAGAAUCUACCAAAAGGACUGGGACAACCACUGGAAACGGUGGCUAAUACCGGAUGAGCCGCAACGUAAAAGAGGAAACUCGCCUUUUGAAGAGCUCGCGUCUGAUUAGCUAGUUGGUGAGGUAAAGGCUCACCAAGGCGGCGAUCAGUAGCUGGUCUGAGAGGAUGAUCAGCCACACUGGGACUGAGACACGGCCCAGACUCCUACGGGAGGCAGCAGUGGGGAAUUUUCCGCAAUGGGCGAAAGCCUGACGGAGCAAGACCGCGUGAGGGAGGAAGGCUCUUGGGUUGUAAACCUCUUUUGUCAGGGAAGAACACAAUGACGGUACCUGAAGAAUCAGCAUCGGCUAACUCCGUGCCAGCAGCCGCGGUAAUACGGGGGAUGCAAGCGUUAUCCGGAAUUAUUGGGCGUAAAGCGUCCGCAGGUGGCUAAUCAAGUCUGCUGUCAAAGGUUGGGGCUUAACCCCAAAAAGGCAGUGGAAACUGAGAAGCUAGAGUGCAGUAGGGGUAGAGGGAAUUCCCGGUGUAGCGGUGAAAUGCGUAGAGAUCGGGAAGAACAUCGGUGGCGAAAGCGCUCUACUGGACUGCAACUGACACUCAGGGACGAAAGCUAGGGGAGCGAAUGGGAUUAGAUACCCCCGUAGUCC
rnacentral:rRNA from 1 species